GUUAAGCGACUAAGCGUACACGGUGGAUGCCCUGGCAGUCAGAGGCGAUGAAGGACGUGCUAAUCUGCGAUAAGCGUCGGUAAGGUGAUAUGAACCGUUAUAACCGGCGAUUUCCGAAUGGGGAAACCCAGUGUGAUUCGUCACACUAUCAUUAACUGAAUCCAUAGGUUAAUGAGGCGAACCGGGGGAACUGAAACAUCUAAGUACCCCGAGGAAAAGAAAUCAACCGAGAUUCCCCCAGUAGCGGCGAGCGAACGGGGAGCAGCCCAGAGCCUGAAUCAGUGUGUGUGUUAGUGGAAGCGUCUGGAAAGGCGCGCGAUACAGGGUGACAGCCCCGUACACAAAAAUGCACAUAUUGUGAGCUCGAUGAGUAGGGCGGGACACGUGGUAUCCUGUCUGAAUAUGGGGGGACCAUCCUCCAAGGCUAAAUACUCCUGACUGACCGAUAGUGAACCAGUACCGUGAGGGAAAGGCGAAAAGAACCCCGGCGAGGGGAGUGAAAAAGAACCUGAAACCGUGUACGUACAAGCAGUGGGAGCCUCUUUAUGGGGUGACUGCGUACCUUUUGUAUAAUGGGUCAGCGACUUAUAUUCUGUAGCAAGGUUAACCGAAUAGGGGAGCCGAAGGGAAACCGAGUCUUAACUGGGCGUUAAGUUGCAGGGUAUAGACCCGAAACCCGGUGAUCUAGCCAUGGGCAGGUUGAAGGUUGGGUAACACUAACUGGAGGACCGAACCGACUAAUGUUGAAAAAUUAGCGGAUGACUUGUGGCUGGGGGUGAAAGGCCAAUCAAACCGGGAGAUAGCUGGUUCUCCCCGAAAGCUAUUUAGGUAGCGCCUCGUGAAUUCAUCUCCGGGGGUAGAGCACUGUUUCGGCAAGGGGGUCAUCCCGACUUACCAACCCGAUGCAAACUGCGAAUACCGGAGAAUGUUAUCACGGGAGACACACGGCGGGUGCUAACGUCCGUCGUGAAGAGGGAAACAACCCAGACCGCCAGCUAAGGUCCCAAAGUCAUGGUUAAGUGGGAAACGAUGUGGGAAGGCCCAGACAGCCAGGAUGUUGGCUUAGAAGCAGCCAUCAUUUAAAGAAAGCGUAAUAGCUCACUGGUCGAGUCGGCCUGCGCGGAAGAUGUAACGGGGCUAAACCAUG
rnacentral:rRNA from 1 species